UACACCAUUAGGUUCAACAGGCAAUAGGCACUUGGCCACAUUUUUUGUUGUUGUUGUCAGAAAGGAAUAUGAUUCAAGGGCACACCUGGCUAUUGAUACCCACAAAUCUGUGUGAGGCCUCCACUCCUGUCAUCAUGGCAUGAAACCCAUUCCUCACCCUAGCCUGGUUGAAGAAGGGACUCAAGGGCAGAGUGUCAGGUUUAUCCAGAAGUCUGCUUCUUAACACCAAGAGAGGACCGAGCAAGAAAGAAGAUAUCUGUCAACCAGAAAGUGGGCUUUCCCUAGACGCCAAGCCUGCUGGCACCCUGAGCUCCGACUUCCCAGCAUCCAGGACUGUGAGAAAUAAAUGUUUGUGUUUAAGCCA